GAGGAGUCCAGUAAAUCACACAGCUUCUCCAGGCAGCUGUGCAGAAGAGACUGCAGCAUUUUUUCUCCUUAAGGAGAAGCUCUGCUAUACCAAAAAUGCCUACGUUUGGAACUGAACACGUGCCUGACUGGAUGAAUGAAGGAACAUACCCAGGAAGAGCUGUUGGGGACCACACUCAAGAUGUUUCUCAAAGUGUAGACAGUGAGCCCCCUGAUCAAAACCAGCCAGAAUGCUUAUCUAAAAUGCAUCGUUCCCCAAGAUGACUUAUCACCUCGGAGACAAUAUCCUGGAGCUUCCUCAUGGCCAUGGGACCAAAUCCUGACUUUGACUCUCCCACCAAGACUAUAUACACAUUCAUUCUCUGUUUAGACAGGAAAAGAAAAAACCUGUCGAAAAGGAAAGUGAAGGCAGUCAGAAGAAGAUAGAAGCUUCAUUAGCAGCAGGAUUCCCGACCAUGAAGCUGCAAAACGGUGGGGACUGAUUAACCAAUU